rnacentral:lncRNA from 1 species
UAGGGGUCUAAUCGGAGCUGUAGCUACCAGCCUAUGCCAGAGCCACAGCAACGCGGGAUCCGAGCCGCAUCUGCAACCUACACCACAGCUCACGGCAACGCCGGAUCGUUAACCCGCUGAGCAAGGGCAGGGACCGAACCCGCAACCUCAUGGUUCCCAGUCGGGUUCGUUAACCACUGCGCCACGACGGGAACUCCUCUACCUAUGUUUAUAUUCAAAACUUUCUAUCACUUGUAAAAUGUGAAUGAAAUUCAUAUAGAAGCUCAUUCAUGACCUUUUUUUAGCAACAAUUCACAACAAUGGCCUAUAUUCAUAGUGAUUUUUAUGAUUAUUUUAGUGGAAUUAAACUUGAACCAGUCAAGUGAACAUAAUUAAUUAUAUUCUGCUCCAGUUACAAUGAAUGAUUAAUUGAUUUCAUCUGGUAGGGUGAAUGCUUGACACUGUCAGUCAUUUAAUAGUCAUGGCAUGCAGGCCUUUGAUCCCUCCUUGCUCAUUAGUUCUCAUGGGGCUUGAUAGCUAUUUAAGGAAAAUAUUUUGUUAAAACAUGUCAGGGAGUAUGGUCAGAUUAUCUAUGUUUCACAUGUGUAUUCCAUUUUAGAAUAAAUGUUAGGUAGUGCUGUACUGUAAACGAGAAUCUCCUCUUUCUUGUUAAAAUGAUAAUGAUCCCUGGAGGUAGAAAUACCACCUUAAAAAAAUAAGUCCUGGCAUUGUUUGUUCCCAAGGUAAGAAGUUAGAAUAAUUUGAUCUAGUGUAGGUUGUCUUACAUAAAAUGUGUUUCGCUUGCAUGAGUUUUAGGCAUCAUUUUGAAAAGUGAAGCCUAUUUGAUAAUACUGAGCUAAUUAAGCAAUUUUCUUCUCAAUAGGUAUUUUAUCCUUUUUUUGCCUGCUUUUUGGACAGUUAGCCUUUGUAUUUCUAAACCCCAAAGGCCAGUUUUUAUAAAUUCAAGUGUCAGUAUGUUAUGAUUAAUUUUUCAUUAUUCUAGUCCUGUGAUUGUAGCUUUUAUUUUUCAUAAGUCCUUUUGAGUAGCACCUCUGACUAACUGAAUUGACCUAUUAACCAUUUUUUCCCCUUCUCCCUUGAAACCUUCUCAGAACAUGUUUGGAAUUCUUUGGCUUGUAUAGUGUACAUGUGCUUGCCUCAGUUAUUCAUUGGACAGAUCUGCCUUAAGUACUUGGUUUUGCCCUUACCUCUACUAGAUGAUAGGAAUACGAUGGUGAACCUUCAGUGUCCCUAACCUGUGAUGCUUAGGACCGGUAGGUGAGACAGAUACUAAUCCUAUAAUCAUGUGAAUACAUGUCAGUGACAACCAUGAUAAGUGCUUGUGAAGGUGAGGCCUUGGUGGACCAAGAGCUAAUCAUGCAGAGAUGGGACUGAGGAAGGAGGUGAGACCUAGUCAGGAAGAUCGGGGAGUGCUUCAAGAAAGUGUUGCUUAAGCCCAAAUAUGGAGGAUGAAGAGAGGUUAAAUAGGUCAAGUAGGGUUUUUAGUGAUAUUGGAUGAUAAUAUACUGGGCACUGAUGGCAAGUUCUUCUUUGGGGAAAGGUAAUAUUUUUUUUGCCCUUGAUUUUAUUACAUGUGAGCCCAGCCAUACAAAUUCCUUUGUGUAUUUUUAAAAAAUGGUUUUUCAUUUGUGCUUAACAUUGUAUUCAUUUGCUGAAGGGCAGGCUUGUACUUUGGCAGAUGUCUUGGUUAUUGUUCUUAAGGAUGUUGACAAAAGUUUCGGAGUUGCGAAAGGUCCUUGGCUUUUCAGACCUUUGAUGUCUGUAUCGUGACUACCAUAAACUUGGAAUCAGGACUGCCAACCUCCUACUGUGCUGAGCGAGGUGUUGCUCUCAUCUACUGCUCUCCGGCAUUUUCUACAUUCUCUGUCAUAGCAAUUACCACAUUGCCAUGCAAUCCUGUCUCAUCUAAGCCAGCCUUUUGAAAAGAAGCAUCAGUACUCUGCAGCUACUUCACUUCCCAUUUGCUUAUCAACCUGCUGCAUUUUGUCCUCGCAGCCCCCAGGAUGAGGUGGCACUCUGGGAGGCCCAGUCUCUGCGAGCUCAUAGUCUAGCAGUAAGAAAAACCCAAACCUUUCUACUGCAGAGGGAUUUGUGCUGUAUAGCUACCCUAUAUAGGGUAGCUCAAAACUCAGAGGAGAUGUAUCUGUGAGCUGAGAUGACUCCCCAGAGGAUAUAUGCAUGAGCUCACUUUUGAAGUUUUGGUUCAGGUUUGCUCUAACUAGUCCAAACUUACGGUCGCUUUUAGAAAUGAUUUAAUUGCAGGGCAGUUCCUUGACCGUCCCAUGCCAUGUCAGUAUUCCUUGCCAGUGGGUAUACUUUUCCCUCGGAUUGCCCCUUCCCUCUUGGUUCUUACAGGGCUGAGUUUUAUUAAUCUCCAUUUUCUUGAACUUGGCUAUAGUAGGUGUUCAGUAAACAUUUGUAUGUCAUUAAAGGGUGUGUGCUUUGCAGUACAGGCAAUGAAGCUAAUUUCAUAAGAUAAUGCACAAAAGUUAGUCUCUUCACGUUACCAACGACCAUAGUUAUAACUUGGAACAUCUCUGAUUCUAAAUCCCCUGCCAGCACAACCACCUCAUCUCACCUCCAGAGAGAAGUUUUCUUUUGAAAUCUAGUAUGCAUUUGUAUUUAUAGAAUAUAAAAUAUAUCCACCACGUUUUGCACAAAUGGAAAAAGCCCAGCUUAGCUUUGGAACGUAUAAGCAACAAAUUAUAACUCCUGGCAGAAGAAGAAAAGGAUUCAGAAAACUCAAAUUAGAAAUUAAAUGGGGAGGCCCUAGCUCCUCUGUGUGUGUGUGUGUGUGUGUGUGUGUGGACAAGUGUUUUCUUUAGCUAAAUCAUCUGUGGUAUUUUCUAUUUGACUAUUCCAUAAUAAAAGGUAGAAGUUAAACAUUUUGUAGAUAGUGUUUUCCUGUAGCAAAUGUCCAGAUCAACAUUUGUCUAUAAAGUUUUCCCACAAAAUUCUAGUUCCACAGGUUUUGAAACAAAUAUUCAGGGAGAAAAAUGUUGGAAGGGGAUUUUGAUUGCAAGGUCAAAUGAAAUGCUGAGUAAAAGUCAAACAGUUUUUUUGUUUUUUUGUAUUGAUUAUUAUUUUAUUUUUAUUUUUUUUGAAAUGAGGUACUUCUUAGAGCAUCUAUUAUACUAACACUGAUUGUGAUCUCUAAAAGGGUCUUACUGUGGUAUACAGUGUUCCUAAACUAGGAAAUUCUCUUGUUUGUCUUCCCACCUUCAAGGGUCUGGGUUCUGUAGAAACACUGUGUAUUGCUGCUUAGAUGGUGGGUACUUUGUGGGUUCUCCUUGCCUAAGGCAUUUUAAUCCAGCUGGGAGUGUCACAUCUGUUAAACCCUUAGCACCAACAAACCGUGGGUCGCAGAGCUUCAGACAGAGGUCAGAUCAUAGUCUAUUAUUUCAGUCUUAAAAGGAGCCCUGCUUUUUGGCACUCUUUAAAACAGCUGUCUGUGGGGUGUGGUUUCCAGCUUUGUUGAUCAUGUACCUCAUGCUUAAACAUCUUGAGUGUUAAUAUGGAGAUAUUUAUUUAUAAAUAAUGCAAGUGUAUUAUUACAUGAGUACUGUUUUAAAAUAUGCAAAGAUGUAAAGGGAUGAGUUAAAAAUUAAUGGAAGCUAGUGUUUCUUCCCACAUUAUGAUGGGUCACUUGGCACACACUUUGGUGUGUAUAUAACCUACUUUGUAAAUCUCUGGCUUUUGAGACAGAAUCUGCAUAUCUUCCAAAUCACCCUCCCCACAUUCCUGGGUUAACUAUGCUUUCCAUUGAAACACUGUUAGCUAUUGGAGAAUGCAGGCCACCCCUAGGUAUUAACUUCUUUUUUUUUUUUUUUUGUCUUUGUAGGGUUGGGGUCACACCUAUGGCACAUUGAAGAUCCCAGGCUAGGGGUCGAAUCGAAGCUGCAGCCACCACCCUACGCCACAGCCACAGCAAUGCCAGAUCUGAGCCCAAUCUGUGACCUAUAGCACAGUUCACGGCAAUGUUGGAUCCUUACCCACUGAGUGAGGCCAGGAUGGAACCCACGUUCUUAUGGAUACUAGUUGGAUUUGUUACUGCUGAACCACAAUGGGAACUCCUCUAGGUAUUUACUUCUAGAGGCUUCUAAGAUACAGUAAGUAGAAAAAGCAAAUAUUCAUAAAUACGUGUGAUCUGAUAGCUUUUUGAAGUUUGUAAAAAUAUAUAAUUUAUGUGUAGAAAAUGUCUAGAUUGAUCCAUUAAAAGACUGUCAAAUUAUUUCUGAGCACUGGAAUUAAGGGUUUUGGGAGAGGAAGAGGAUUUUUAUUUUUUACUUUAUAUCCCAUAUUGUUUGAAAUUUUUAUGAACUCAGAGAUUCUUUUGGUAAUAAAGUUAAAAAUUACUGCAUAUGGUGUGAUGUCAAUAUUUUACAACACAUUGUCAUUGUUGAAGUUGGGUGAUGUGAACAGUGGGCUUCAUUAUUAGAUUUCUACUUUUAUGUGUAUUUGAAUAUUACCAUAAAAAAAAUUUCAAACGAAAGAAAAGUAAAUGCAUUGCAGAAAGGGCAUAGACAUACACCGCAUGGUAACCAAUUAUCUUGAAUGUGGGAAGAGAUUGGGCAAUAGAAAUUUGGGUGCCUCUCCCCCGCCACCUCCCAAUACGUUAUGUUCCAUGAGCAUAUUAUUGCUUUUAUAAUGGGAACUCACUUAACUGAACACACAUACACAGGCACACUGCAGAGCCCCGAGUGCAUAGAGUUUCCUGUGUGGACAGGAGUACAAAAUACUUGUUUUGACUUCCCAGAUGCUUUAUUAGUUUCCAAGGGAAUAUACAAAAUGAAUGUGCAAGCCAUGAGUGUUUAAUGUGUAGGGCUCAGCUGUGUCAUAAUAAGAUCUUGAGGCUUGUUUUGUAGUAUAAAGAUCUUAUACUUGUUGUAUAAUAAAACAAAGGUGAAACUCCAAGGCAUAGCUAAACAGCUCUGCACAGCCACAGCUCUAUCAGGGAGAGCUCAGCUGGUGGAGUCAUGUGCACUGUGAGCUAGUUUACCAGGCUCCAUAAUGUGAAAGACAGUGUCUUAAGGUAGCGUACCUAAUUAUAGCUCUCACAUGGGGUCCAAGGGAAUUAAUAUGUGAAGGACGUUUUCUGUUGCCAAUUGCCAUGCUAGGCUGCAUUCAUAGACAUAUAGAAUCUGUAAGGAGGGAAAUGAUGGUUCAUUAACUGUGUGACCUUGUUAGUUAAGCUCUAGGUACCUCAUCUGUGAAAGAAGGACAAUAAUAUUAGCCACCUCAGGGCACUGUGAUGAGGAUUAAAAGAGAAUGUUUAUAUGGCACCUUGUAUAUGGUGAACACUCAAAUGCCAGCUCUUGUUUUCCUGUGAAAAACUGUUUAUUGAGCUGAGAACAUUUAGCUUGUGAGCAGGUGUUCCCUGAUUUUCAGUAUCUUCUCCUCAAACAGCCAUGUGGUUAGGGAUGAUUGGUCUUUGGUUAACCCCAUCACCUUUGCCAAGUUGAGGAAUGGACAUGUAACCCAGUUUAGCCAGUAAGACAUGAGGGGGUUUCUACUUUUCUUUGUGUAGGUUUUGUCAAGUCUUAGACUGCAGCAUCCACUUUCCUAUCACCCUGAGGAUGAAGCCAACGUGAAGGAUGGCAGAGCAAGAAAAAGAGCAAAACAAAAAAAACCAUCUUGGGGAGUUCCCGUCGUGGCGCAGUGGUUAACAAAUCCGACUAGGAACCGUGAGGAUCCCUGCCCUUGCUCAGUGGGUUAAUGAUCCGGCGUUGGUAUAGGUCCGCAGAUGCAGCUGGGAUCCCACGUUGCUGUGGCUAUGGUGUAGGCCAGCAGCUACAGCUCCAAUUAGACCCCUAGCCUGGGAACCUCCAUAUGCCGCGAGAGCAGCUCAAGAAAUGGC